UUCCGGUGGUGGUGGUGGUGGUGGUAUUUUGGUGCAAUGUUUCGAUCCUUGUGUUGUAUAAAGCAGGGGUAUCUCUGAAAAGGCAGUUCAUCAAUGGAAAAUUUUCUUCACUAGCACUACCAGCUAAAUAUUCUCUCUUUAAAUUUCAAAAUCCAAAUGUUGUAAUUUCUAAAUCUAGGGUUACUUCCAUCUUUUAUUCCUUCUCUACUACUACUACUAGCAAUAAUACAUGGUAAUGGUACUUCUGAAUCUUCAUUUGUAGUUUCUUAUCUUAUAAAUUCAUGUGGAUUGUCUGAAAAUGAAGCUAUUAGUGUUUCUAAAAAACUCAAUUUCAAAACCACAACUAAACCCGAUUCAGUACUAACCCUACUAAAAGCAUGCGGAUUUACUGAAGCACGCAUUUCUAAAUUAAUACCCAAAAACCCAUUCAUCCUCUCAAUGAAACCAGAUAGCCAAAAUUCAAUUUUUUCAAUUCUAGAGAGGUUUAUGGACUUGACCUUGCAAAUUUCAUCUCAAAUGACCCAUUGAUCCUUGGGCAGAGUUUUAAUAAAGGAAUAAUCCCUUCAUUGGAUAUACUUAAGAGCAUUGUUCAGUCUGACCAAAAUGUGAUUAAAAUGAUUAUGCAAUUUGUUCGGGUUAGGAUAAGCAUAGUUAAAGCUUUGAUGGUCAACCUAAAGCUUUUGAGAUGUGAAGAAGGUGUACCUGAAAAUAAUAUUCUUAAGUAUUUAAUCAAAAAACCAGGAUCGUUUAUGGUAGAUUCUAAAAGAUUUGUAAAGAUUGUUCGGAAGGUUAAGGGAUCAGGUUUCAAUCCUUCGUACACUAUGUUUUUUAUAGCUAUAAUCGUAUUGACACAAAUGAGUGAAGCAAGUUUGGGGGAAAAAAAUAGAUGUUUACAGGAGAUGGGGUUGGUCUGAUGAUCGAAUUCAAACAGCAUUUAGGAAAAAUCCUCAGUGUAUGAUGGUGUCCGAGAAGAAGAUUAUGGCAAUAAUGAAUUUCCUUGUGAAUGAAAUGGGUUAUGAUUCAUCAAUUGUUGCUGAAUACCCAAAAGUUUUUAAUCAUAGAUUGAAGGAGAGGAUUAUCCCAAGGUGUUCUGUUAUUAGGAUUUUAGUCUCCAGAGGUCUGAUCAAGGAAAAUAUUUCUUUAGGCACAUUUUCAACAAUGGUAGACAAGUCUUUUUUGGAGAAGUUUGUCAUAAAGUAUGAGCAAGAAGUUCCUGAACUGAUGAAGAUAUUCCAAGGUCAGCUGAAUUACCAUCAGCUACUUCAGAACUGAACGAUAUUACGAGAUGCAUACUCAGUAGUGGUGUGUUCAAUGGAGCUAGAAAAGGUACAGGGAAAGAAACAAGAAAUGUGCAGUGCUUGCCUACUACAAUACAGUGGCCUCCUGAGCUGGGAGCUAGCUAGGAGGGUACACUUCAUAAGGACUGCCAGGUGAAAAUAAGCAAAAUGAUGGGGUCAUUGGCUUGGCAGAAUCAGUAACUACAGGGGUUCUCAGCAAAUCUGUGCUUCAGAGCAUUCCUGUCUUUUACUAUGGCAAUCUAUAGGUGUUUUGCAUAUUUUGUCGACAGACAUCGAACAUAAAAUGCUCCACUUGUAUAUUCCAUUCCAUUACUUAAAUUGUCUCAUGAACAUAGAUCUGGUCUAACAUUGAGAAGCUUAGUUUAGCUGAGGUAAUCAACAUGUGGUUAUGUUUCUGUAAGGCGUGAGAUCCCAGGUAUUCUUACUUUAGA